GGGAAUCCCUGAUUUGUGCUUUAUUAGUGCUCCUAAUCAUAAUUAACCAGCAUAUCAAUGUUAGUACUAUUAAAUAAACAUAAUAUUUGAAUUUACUACAAUUAUCUGGAUAUGCAUUUUCAAGUAUAAGCAAGCAUACUAGAUAUAAGUUACAGUGAAAAUCUUAUAUUCUUUUGUCUCCCUGUUUCUUUGCACCCCUGUAAUCUUUUUCUGUAACAGCAACUAGAAUAAUCCUUUUAACAAGAAAUCAAGUCAUAUCACUCCUCUCUGCUUAAAAUGGUUUUUGCCUCAUUUAGAGUAAAAGCCAAAGCCCUUCCAAUAGUCCAUAUGGGCCUCCACAAUGGCCUCAUUACCUCUUUGAUCUCACCUUCUACCACUUUGCCCCCUUUGCUCAUUCUGUUCUAACCAUACUAGCCUCCUUACUGUUCUUAAAACACUUCAAACACAUUGCCUCCUAGAGCCUUUGCACUAGUUGUUCCCCUUGCCUGGACUACUGCUACCCUAAAUACCCACAAGGCUUGCUUCUCCACCUUUUUCAAGUCUUUGUCGCAGUCUCACCCUCAUUGAGAUUCCCUGAUCACUGCCUCCAUCUUGGUCCUCUUGCCCUGCUGUAUUUUUAUGAAAGCCUAAGUACAUAUCUUACUUGAUUAUUUUAUUUUCUAUCCCACCAAUCCACACCUUCACUGGAAAGUAAGUUCCAUAGAGGCGGAGACUUUUGUCUAUUUUGUUCAAUGAACAUCCCAAGCACCUAGAACAGUUUCUGACACAUAAGAAGUAUUCAAUUAUGUGCUGGCUGAAUGUAUGAAUUAAUAAGUUGAGAUUCGAUCACUAGUUGAAGUAUAAAUAUAUAUUUUUGCAAGAAUAAAUGCUACAGUAACUGAUUAUGACAGCUAAUUCUGUGUACAAAAACAACCAUUUAUUUAUCUAGCCAAGUUCCUGGCACAGAAAAGCAGCUUAGUAAAUGUUAACAAAUGAAUCGUGGAAUAAAUGUGAACACAGGCAAACACAGGCAUUAGCCACAAGGUAAACAUCAGAGCCAGCAGAGCCAGCAGUGUCAUCUUCCUGAAGUAGAAAAAAACAGCUAUCAAUUAAAACAAUCACCCACCAGUAUAACAAUGAAGAGUAUCACCAUAAACCAAGGCAAAUAAAUGAUCUUGCCAGGAAAGAGAUUUAGAGGUGUAAAGAGAGAGCUGAGAAACUAGAAAGCCAAUUUGCUGAAAAGAGGUUCAGUGUUUAAGAUUAGUUCCCUUAUCGCUUUCAUCUACACUCAUGUCUUUUACUGUUUUGUCCUAAGCAAAUGUGGUCAGGAAAAUGUGUGAGUUAUAGUUAAUGUUCUUAACCAAUCAAAUUACUAGCCGAAGAUGGGGUUUCACUAUGUUGGCCAGGCUGGUCUUGAACUCCUGACCUCUUGAUCCGCCUGCCUCAGCCUCCCAAAGUGCUGGGAUUACAGGCGUGAGCCACCGCGCCUGGCCAGCUUUGUUUUUUUAAGGAGGGUUACUUUUAG
rnacentral:lncRNA from 10 species